UGGGCAACCAGAAUAAUGCAUAGU
rnacentral:miRNA from 2 species